rnacentral:lncRNA from 1 species
UUUUUAAAUUGUAUUAAUAUACCAGAUUUUUUGGUUUGUUAGAGAUAUGCUUUAACGCUUACAGGUGUAAUGUUAACUUCGUUUUACUUGUAUUUGCUAACCUGCAUUUUUAUAUGAAAAUGGAUAGGAUCAGAUAAUAUUGAUUGUUUAAGCCUUUUGCUAGGGAAAGUAUAAAGCAAUGUAUGAACUGUCAGAAACAAACCUUUUCGUGCUAUGAUUUGGUGG